UUUUCUGUCCUUGUAACUAACUAUAUGGUGGUUAUGCAGUUUUUAUCAAAAACCACAAGCCAUAAAAAUCAAAAUCUAGCAAUUCCUUUUUGAUUCUGCACAUCCCAUUCUCUGCUUCGAUCCUGCUUCACUUAUUUAGGAUGAUUCGCCUAUCACAAUAUGUUAAUUGAUUUUAUGCUGGCUUCUAGAUACUCAAAAUCAUCGUCAUCAAGUGUUUAUAUAAAAGAAGAGAUCUUGUUCAUGGGGUAUUGCAGCUGGUUGCUGCUGCCAUGUUUUAUAUGGAGUUCUCUGAUUCUGGGUUCCCAUCAAUUACAACCUUCACAAACACAAGUGCUCCUUCAACUGAGGAAGCAUUUGGAGUACCCAAAUCAACUGGAAAUUUGGAAAGAUCAUAGUGUAGAUUUUUGCUUCAUAUCUUCAACUGCACAAGUAAAUGUAACUUGCCAGGAUAAUUUUGUCACUGAGCUUAGAAUUAGAGGAGACAAGCCUGCCAAGAUUGAUAACUUUGUAGGGUUCGUAAUUCCAAAUCAAACUUUAUCGGAGAAUUUCUCUAUGGAUUCUUUUGUUGUUACUCUUGCUAGGCUAACCAGUUUGAGAGUCCUCAGUCUUGUAUCUCUAGGCAUUUGGGGUCCACUUCCGGACAAAAUUCAUCGGUUGUCUUCACUUGAAUACUUGGAUUUGAGUUCAAAUUAUCUCUCUGGUUCUGUUCCACCGAAGAUUUCAACAAUGGUGAAACUCCAAACGCUUAUACUCGAUGACAAUUUCUUCAACGAUACAGUACCCAAUUGGUUUGCUUCACUGUCUAAUCUUACAAUUCUGAGAAUGAGGAAUAACCAAUUGAAAGGUCCAUUUCCAACUUCAUUACAGAGAGUUACCACUCUUACUGAUGUCGUUUUGUCUAGCAAUGAGAUAUCUGGAAACUUACCAAGUCUUGAUUCCUUAAGUAACCUGCAUUUGCUGGAUUUAAGUGGGAACAAUCUUGAUUCUAAUCUACCUUCAAUGCCUAAAGGAUUGGUCUCAAUAUCUCUUAGCAACAACUCCUUUUCAGGUGAAAUUCCUCAUCCAUAUGGCCAGCUUAGUCAGCUUCAACACCUUGAUAUGUCGUUCAAUAAACUAAGUGGAAGACCUCCUGCUACAAUCUUUUCAUUACCAAACAUCAGUUUCUUGAAUUUGACAUCCAAUAUGUUAAGUGGUUCCCUCCCAGAUCAUCUAAGCUGUGGCAGGAAACUUCAGUUUGUUGAUAUAUCAAAUAAUAGUUUUACUGGUGGAUUGCCCCAGUGUUUGAGGCUUGAAUCAGAUGAUAGAGUUGUGAAAUUUGGUGGAAAUUGCUUAUCCAUUGAUUUACAUCAUCAGCGUACAGAAUCAUCUUGUAUGGCCAUGCCUGUAAAAGAGAAACAAUCUGGAGUAAAAAAUAUAGGAAGAUUAGUGGGUGUGACUAUUGGUAUCCUUAUGGUCCUGGUGCUUCUCGCUUUUGGCUUUCUCGUUUUAUGUAGAAGAUAUUGCCCACGAGGAACGUCCGAGCAGCAUUUAUUGCACAAAGCAGUGCAAGAAAACUCAGCAACAGGGCUGUCGUCUGAGAUUCUCACCAAUGCAAGAUUUAUUUCUCAGGCAGCAAAAUUGGGAUCACAAGGUCUCCCAAUGUGUCGGUCAUUUACUUUACGAGAGAUAAAGGCAGCUACAAGAAACUUUGAUCAAUCUACCAUUUUGGGAGAAGGAUCUUAUGGGAAGCUUUACAAAGGAAGAUUAGAAGAUGGGACACAAGUUGCUAUAAGGUGCCUGUCUUCAUCGAACAAAUAUACGAUUCGAAAUCUUAAACUCAGGUUGGAUUUGCUUGCAAAGCUUCGGCACCCACAUUUGGUUUGCCUCUUGGGGCACUGCAUUGACAGUGGUGGACAGGAUGAUUACAAAGUGAACAGAAUCUUCCUUGUAUUUGAAUACAUUUCGAAUGGCAAUUUUCGCACUCGCCUCUAUGAGGACAAUUCAGGCAAGCUUCUAAAUUGGUCAGAGAGAUUGACGGUGCUAAUUGGCGUGGCAAAAGCUGUGCACUUUCUGCAUACAGGAGUUAUUCCUGGUUUCUUCAACAAUCAAUUGAAGACAAAUAAUAUCCUUCUUAAUGAGUAUGGGAUUGCAAAGUUGAGUGACUAUGGAUCAUCCAUCAUCUCUGAAGAAUUAGCAAAUUCUGGGGAAGGUGGAGAAGGCUUUAAAUCACGGCAAAUGACAAGAUUAGAGGAUGAUGUUUAUAGCUUUGGCUUCAUAUUACUUGAAUCACUUGUUGGCCCCUCAGUAUCUGGCAGAAGAGACAAGCUUCUACUGGAUGAACUGGCAUCUCUUAACAGCCCAGAUGGCCAUAGGAAAUUAGUAAACCCAAUUGUGCUGGCCACGUGCUUCCAAGAGUCUUUAUCAACUGUGAUUUCUAUUACAAACAAAUGCAUUUGUUCUGAAUCAUGGAGCCGUCCUUCUUUUGAGGACAUCCUCUGGAACUUGCAGUAUGCAGCUCAAAUUCAAGCAACAGCAGAUGGUACCAAAUCGGGUUGCUGUAGUUCCAGCCUAUGGCUGUCUCCUAACCCUAGUAAGAGAUGGGGCGAGCUUUUCUUCCUUUGUUAUACUCCUUUCUGGCUUACUCUAUGUCUGGGCAUUGUUGUUCCCUACAAGCUCUAUGAGAGCUUUACGGAAUUGGAGUACUUGCUUCUGGCUAUGGUUUCGGCAGUUCCUUCUUUCUUUAUACCAAUGAUGUUUGUUGGGAAGACUGAUAGUGGCUUGAGUUGGAAGGAGCGUUACUGGGUCAAGGCCAGUCUAUGGAUAAUAAUUUUCAGCUAUGUUGGAAAUUACUUUUGGACACACUAUUUCUUUACAGUUUUGGGAGCAUCUUAUACAUUUCCGUCAUGGAAGAUGAAUGAUGUACCCCACACAACUUUCCUUUUAACACAUGUUUGCUUCCUGUUUUACCAUGUUGCCUCAAAUAUGACACUUCGCAGGCUGCGACAUGCUAUUGCUGACAUGCCAGAUAAACUUCAAUGGGUUACUGAAGCAGCUUGGAUUUUGGCUCUUGCAUAUUUCAUAGCAUACCUGGAGACUUUAGCUAUUUCUAAUGCUAAUGAAUGGAUUAGCUGAUAGAGAAUAUGAUCUGUUUAUUAUAUCCUCGAGGCUUCUAUCUUUUGUAACAAGUAUUACUGUGCUUCAUUUAGGGUUUGAUUAUUGGGUUUUUCUGGCCUUUUUUAUACCAAGUAUACCUUCUCUUAACAAUCAUGUGACUUUAUGAUCUGUGGAAUGAGCCUAAGCUAAUCAUAUCCCACUUUUUUCUUAUUUGUUUAGGGCAAAAGGGAGUGAUUUUACAUCCUUAGCAAGAUAUGUGUCAAUUUUUGUUCUUGCAUUUUAUGUAAUGCUAUUUAUAGUCGUCAUAGUUAAUGCAAUUCAUAACAUUUCUGGUUUACUUCAAAAGUAUUACCAAGGGGACAACGUCAGCCUUGAGUCUUGACAUUGCAACUUGUUGCUAAAAUGUGAAUUAAGGCACUGAUAAACAUUAUGUUAUGAACAUGUGCAGUUUCCUUACUAUGAAUUUGUGGACCGGGCUUCCAUGUACAAAGUUGGGUCCUUAUUUUAUGCCAUCUACUUUGUUGUAAGCUUCCCAAUGUUUUUGAGGAUAGAUGAGAAACCCGGUGACUUGUGGGACUUGCCGAGAGUGGCUGUGGAUGCUCUGGGUGCUGCAAUGUUAGUAACAAUAAUUUUGGACUUGUGGAGAAUAUUUCUUGGACCAAUUGUUCCACAAAGUUAUGCAAAACAAUGCCUUCAACCAGGACUUCCAUGGUUUCAUGGACAUGCCAAUGAAACUUAAUGACUGUACGUAACUGUGGAAGUUUGCCGCGCUUGAUGUUGUCACAUUAACUUGCUAACCAACGGUUUUGGUCAUGUUCCUGUUAUGGAUGCUUCAGCUUAGGCUUGCACUGAAAUUUGCAGUGGCACUUGUUACGAUUGAUGUUUUUUUUCUGGUCAAAAUGACACUUUGUUACGAUUGAUGUUAAGUUUGUGCGUCCAAGUUUUUCCCA